UUUUUUUUAAGUUUCGCAAUCACAUGGUCCUGUUCUAACUACAAUUUUUGUUUGUCUCACUUAUUUAUCUAAUACUGCUAGGAAAUCCAAACUAUGCCUUUUUCUUUUAUAUAUCUAUUUUUAUUCUCGUUACGAUGUCUUUUUCUUCUAAUACAUAUGUUUUAUUUAUUAAACAGUAAAACACACUCAAUAAUAUAAUCUUUUUUUUUGUCAAUGCUCUCUCUGUAUAUAUAUAAUAAAGUUUAUAAAUAUAGCUGUAGAAAUUGACUUAAGGGGAUAUAGUUUGUUUGUAUCUCAUGAUGGUUGCUUGCCAUUAUAGAUUCACUUUUCAUCAUUAAGGUUGGGUGACACAUUUAUUCGAUGAUCUAUAAAGUUACGUUGCACCCAAAAAAAAAA
rnacentral:lncRNA from 1 species